rnacentral:lncRNA from 1 species
GCUAACAACUUUCCAGCGGCGCGUGUGUGCGGCCCAACAGGCCCUGCUGCUAACCUAUAGCGGCUGCCUAUAUAAGAAGUCCCUGGAUUCCACGAGAAAGAGAGGACAUCGGCAGAAGGCAGGCUCCAUGGAGGGAGCUCACACUUCGGCUACACCAAAGCUAGCAUGCCGCCGCUGCCGGGUACCGGGGACGUGAAGCUUGGAGGCAAGGCAGCCAGGUGCACGCCGGCGUUCCGUAUGGUCAUGCCCGGCCGAUUCCCUGGUAGGCGCUGAAGAUGGAGGGCAGGCAGCACAAGGGCAGACGUACAUCUGAAGGCUGCCAUACCAUGGACCACUGGCACACGUUCGGGCAUUAGCACCGGUCGGGAAGGGCCUGUUGCCCCGGUUCCCGAGCCGGUGCUGCCCUUCCGGGACUAAAGGCCCACCCUUUAGUCCCGGUUCGGGCAACCGGGGCUGAAGUGGGUCCUGCCAGAGCUGCCACGUUGCAGGACCCUUUAACACCGGUUGGUAAUACCAACCGGUGUUAAAGGGUUUCUUUUUUUUGGUUCACUUCUUCGGUUCUGUUUAUUGUUUAUAUAUAAUAUAUAAUAAUAGGUUUUUCAAUACAUGUUUUGCUGAUACAAUAAUAUAUUUAUAUUACACGCAUAUUAAGCAUAUAUAAAUGAAAAUUAUAGGCUUAGCUUAAUAAUUAAGCUUUGCCUAUAAUAAAAUGAAUAGACCACAU